rnacentral:rRNA from 1 species
GACGAACGCUGGCGGCGUGCUUAACACAUGCAAGUCGAACGGAAAGGCCCUGCUUUUGUGGGGUGCUCGAGUGGCGAACGGGUGAGUAACACGUGAGUAACCUGCCCUUGACUUUGGGAUAACUUCAGGAAACUGGGGCUAAUACCGGAUAGGAGCUCCUGCUGCAUGGUGGGGGUUGGAAAGUUUCGGCGGUUGGGGAUGGACUCGCGGCUUAUCAGCUUGUUGGUGGGGUAGUGGCUUACCAAGGCUUUGACGGGUAGCCGGCCUGAGAGGGUGACCGGCAACUUUGGAGCUGGAAUAGGCCCGAGACCCCCAGGGGGGCCAGGAGGGGGAAAUAUGCCACAAGGGGCGGAGGCUUGAGGCAGCAACCCCGCGGGGGGGAGGCGGGCCUGCGGGUUGAAACCGGCUUCCGCCGGUGACGAAGGUUGAGGGACGUUAGUGGAAAAAGAACCCCCGCUUAACUCCGUG